rnacentral:rRNA from 1 species
AUACGGAGGAUGCGAGCGUUAUCCGGAUUUAUUGGGUUUAAAGGGUGCGUAGGCGGUUUAUUAAGUUAGUGGUUAAAUAUUUGAGCUAAACUCAAUUGUGCCAUUAAUACUGGUAAACUGGAGUACAGACGAGGUAGGCGGAAUAAGUUAAGUAGCGGUGAAAUGCAUAGAUAUAACUUAGAACUCCGAUAGCGAAGGCAGCUUACCAGACUGUAACUGACGCUGAUGCACGAGAGCGUGGGUAGCGAACAGGAUUAGAUACCCUGGUAGUCCACGCCGUAAACGAUGCUCACUGGUUCUGUGCGAUAUAUUGUACGGGAUUAAGCGAAAGUAUUAAGUGAGCCACCUGGGGAGUACGUCGGCAACGAUGAAACUCAAAGGAAUUGACGGGGGCCCGCACAAGCGGAGGAACAUGUGGUUUAAUUCGAUGAUACGCGAGGAACCUUACCCGGGCUUGAAAGUUACUGACGAUUCUGGAAACAGGAUUUCCCUUCGGGGCAGGAAACUAGGUGCUGCAUGGUUGUCGUCAGCUCGUGCCGUGAGGUGUCGGGUUAAGUCCCAUAACGAGCGCAACCCUUACCGUUAGUUGCUAGCAUGUAAUGAUGAGCACUCUAACGGGACUGCCACCGUAAGGUGAGAGGAAGGCGGGGAUGACGUCAAAUCAGCACGGCCCUUACACCCAGGGCUACACACGUGUUACAAUGGCCGGUACAGAGGGCCGCUACCAGGUGACUGGAUGCCAAUCUCAAAAGCCGGUCGUAGUUCGGAUUGGAGUCUGUAACCCGACUCCAUGAAGUUGGAUUCGCUAGUAAUCGCGCAUCAGCCAUGGCGCGGUGAAUACGUUCCCGGGCCUUGUACACACCGCCCGUCAAGCCAUGGGAGCCGGGGGUACCUGAAGUGCGUAACCGCGAGGAGCGCCCUAGGGUAAAACUGGUGACUGGGGCUAAGUCGUAACAAGGUAGCCGUACCGGAAGGUGCGGCUG